CUCAGAUUCGUAAGGUACAAGCAGGAAAAAAAAAGAAUUAAUAUACAACAAAUGCACUGUAGUGAAACUGCAGAAAAACUUCGAAAAGGGUAGAUCCUAAGAGGAGCAAGAUGAAGGGGGAAAGUUCCUCAACUUCUUUUAUGAAGACAGUAUACUUUUAACAUAAAAACUAGAUAAGGACAAUAAAAGAAAGAAAAAUAUAAGAGGCUCUUACUUCUGAACUAGACAGAAAAUUCUAAAAAAAACCUCUUAGCAAAAGAAAUCAGCAAUAUAUGAAGAAAUACAUUUAUCUCAGGAAUGUAGAGAUGAUUAACUUUGUAACAGCUCCUGUCCUGAGCACCCUCUGAAGGCCCACACAUGAGUUAUGUCUUUCACAGUGUCAGCUUUAUUCCGUCAUAAAGCAAGUGUAAUGUAAUUAUAAAGCAGGCUCAGGAUUCCAAACUCCGUGACAUUUCACCACGUGAUUAACUUGGCUUCUUACAAAGGCACAUAAAGCUGAACACAAGACAAGUCACACAACAAACAAGAUAACACAGCGGGUAGGAAGCUAAGGAACGAAACGUGGUGAGAACCAUGAGAACACACGGAAGCUACUUUGCUGAAGAAAUGUAAGGAGAAGCAGGAGGAGAACUGAGUCAUCACUGUGCUGACCAUCCUGCACCAACGGCCCCCUCAGAGCCUCCAACUGACUAGAGAUAGACAUCUGAAACAGUUCUGCGUAGAUCAGUUAAGCUGCGCAGAUCAGAUCAAUAAAAGUGCCCAGUUGAUCACAGA